rnacentral:rRNA from 1 species
UAAAACUUAAAUAUUUUGGCGGUAUUUUAGUUUAUUUAGAGGAAUCUGUUUAUUAAUUGAUAAUCCACGAAUAAAUUUACUUAAUUUAUUAUUUUGUAUAUCAUUGUUAAAUAAAUAUUUUUUAAUAAUUAAUAAUAUUUUAAAAUUAUAAAUAAAAAUUAAAUCAAAUCAAGAUGCAGAUUAUAAUUAAGAAUAUAAUGGAUUACAAUAAUUUUAUUUAGAUGAAUUUUAAUUUGUAAUAAUUAAAUGAAGGUGGAUUUAAAUGUAAUUUUAUUUAUUUUAAUAAUUUG